rfam:Brenneria goodwinii strain OBR1 genome assembly, contig: Contig
AGGUAAUUGAGUAUAUGGGGAUAAAUAUCUUACAUUCAACGGUCAGAAUACGCGUAAAAGCGAAUGGGGGAUAAAAUCCCCCAUUUUUGUCUUUC